rnacentral:rRNA from 1 species
CCUACGGGAGGCUGCCGUGAGGAAUAUUGGUCAAUGGACGAGAGCCUGAACCAGCCAAGUAGCGUGAAGGAUGACUGCCCUAUGGGUUGUAUACUUCUUUUAUAUGGGAAUAAAAUGUUCCCCGUGUGGGAUUUUGUAUGUACCAUAUGAAUAAGGAUCGGCUACAUCCGUGCCAGCAGCCGCGGUAAUACGGAGGAUCCGAGCGUUAUCCGGAUUUCUUGGGUUUAAAGGGAGCCUAGGUGGCUGGUUAAGUCAGUUGUGAAAGUAUGCGGCUCAAACGUAAAAUUGCAGUUGAACCUGGCCGUCUUGAGUACAGGAGAGGUGGGCGGAAUUCGUGGUGUAGCGGUGAAAUGCUUAGGUAUCACGAAGAACUCCGAUUGCGAAGGCAGCUCACUGGACUGCAACUGACGCUGAGGCUCGAAGGUGUGGGUAUCAAACAGGAUUAGAUACCCCUGUAGUC